rnacentral:rRNA from 1 species
GCUUGCUCCUUUGACGUUAGCGGCGGACGGGUGAGUAACACGUGGGUAACCUACCUAUAAGACUGGAAUAACUCCGGGAAACCGGGGCUAAUGCCGGAUAACAUGUUGAACCGCAUGGUUCUACAGUGAAAGCGGUCUUGCUGUCACUUAUAGAUGGACCCGCGCCGUAUAGCUAGUUGGUGGGGUAACGGCCUACCAAGGCGACGAUACGUAGCCGACCUGAGAGGGUGAUCGGCCACACUGGAACUGAGACACGGUCCAGACUCCUCGGGAGGCAGCAGUAGGGAAUCUUCCGCAAUGGGCGAAAGCCUGACGGAGCAACGCCGCGUGAGUGAUGAAGGUCUUCGGAUCGUAAAGCUCUGUUGUUAGGGAAGAACAAAUGUGUAAGUAACUGUGCACAUCUUGACGUACCUAACCAGAAAGCCACGGCUAACUACGUGCCAGCAGCCGCGGUAAUACGUAGGUGGCAAGCGUUAUCCGGAAUUAUUGGGCGUAAAGCGCGCGUAGGCGGUUUUUUAAGUCUGUGUGAAAGCCCACGGCUCAACCGUGGAGGGUCAUUGGAAACUGGAAAACUUGAGUGCAGAAGAGGAAAGUGGAAUUCCAUGUGUAGCGGUGAAUGCGCAGAGAUAUGGAGGAACACCAGUGGCGAAGGCGGCUUUCUGGUCUGCAACUGACGCUGAUGUGCGAAAGCGUGGGGAUCAAACAGGAUUAGAUACCCUGGUGUCCACGCCGUAAACGAUGAGUGCUAAGUGUUAGGGGGUUUCCGCCCCUUAGUGCUGCAGCUAACGCAUUAAGCACUCCGCCUGGGGAGUACGGUCGCAAGACGAAACUCAAAGGAAUUGACGGGGACCCGCACAAGCGGUGGAGCAUGUGGUUUAAUUCGAAGCAACGCGAAGAACCUUACCAAAUCUUGACAUCCUUUGACCGCUCUAGAGAUAGAGUUUUCCUCUUCGGAGGACAAAGUGACAGGUGGUGCAUGGUUGUCGUCAGCUCGUGUCGUGAGAUGUUGGGUUAAGUCCCGCAACGAGCGCAACCCUUGAACUUAGUUGCCAUCAUUCAGUUGGGCACUCUAAGUUACUGCCGGUGACAAACCGGAGGAAGGUGGGGAUGACGUCAAAUCAUCAUGCCCCUUAUGAUUGGGCUA